GUACUGAUGAAGAGUCCCAAAUCAGGACGAAGCAACUGUCUAGUAC
rnacentral:hammerhead_ribozyme from 1 species